UGGGGAAUAUUGGGCAAUGGGCGCAAGCCUGACCCAGCAACGCCGCGUGAAGGAAGAAGGCUUUCGGGUUGUAAACUUCUUUUAUUAAGGACGAAACAAAUGACGGUACUUAAUGAAUAAGCUCCGGCUAACUACGUGCCAGCAGCCGCGGUAAUACGUAGGGAGCAAGCGUUAUCCGGAUUUACUGGGUGUAAAGGGCGUGUAGGCGGGAGUGCAAGUCAGAUGUGAAAACUAUGGGCUCAACCCAUAGCCUGCAUUUGAAACUGUACUUCUUGAGUACUGGAGAGGCAGGCGGAAUUCCGUGUGUAGCGGUGAAAUGCGUAGAUAUACGGAGGAACACCAGUGGCGAAGGCGGCCUGCUGGACAGCAACUGACGCUGAGGCGCGAAAGCGUGGGGAGCAAACA
rnacentral:rRNA from 1 species